rnacentral:rRNA from 1 species
UACGAGGGGGGCAAGCGUUGUUCGGAAUUAUUGGGCGUAAAGGGUGCGUAGGCGGUCUGGUAAGUCUUGUGUGAAAUCUUCGGGCUCAACUCGAAGUCUGCACGAGAAACUGCCGGGCUUGAGUAUGGGAGAGGUGAGUGGAAUUCCCGGUGUAGCGGUGAAAUGCGCAGAUAUCAGGAGGAACACCGGUGGCGAAGGCGGGUCUCUGGGCCGAUACUGACACUGAGGAGCGAAAGCGUGGGGAGCGAACAGG